UGGGGAAUUUUGCCAAUGGGCGAAAGCCUGACGCAGCAACGCCGCGUGCGGGAUGAAGGCCUUCGGGUCGUAAACCGCUUUCAGCAGGACGAAAUGACUUACCU
rnacentral:rRNA from 1 species